rnacentral:sRNA from 1 species
AAGAAAUAACUCGGUAGGUGUAAAUAUACCGGUAUUUCGGCCUAUAUUCAGAAUUAUAACAAAACUUUGGUUACAGUACAUAGCAUCUUUAUUCACCUAUCUUUGGUCCUACACACACUCACAUACAAAGGUCAGCUCCUCUACACAUGCAGUGGCAAGAUAAUCUGACAAACUAAAAUUCAAACAGCAGAGAAGGGUUAGAAGCAAUACCUAAAAAAAAAUAUCGUUGUGAGGAAAAGCAUAAAGAAUUCUUGAUGCGUUUUAAUUAAAGUUAUUAUAAUAGCAAGAAAUGCUUGUUAAAAACAUCAAUCAUUUUGAAAAAAGGAAAUACCCAAGUCAUGAAAAAAGUAAUCAAAACACAGAAAAGGUAUAUACUAUAUAGUAUAUUAUAUUGAAAUAAAAAAUAGAUCUACAAUUAUCCUUGUUACCUUAGCUAGAUUUGUUGUUAUCCUUGUAUUUACAACUUGGACCAGGACAUUUUUAAAAGUAUAUAUCAAAUAUAGAAUAAUAAAUCUGAUUUUUUUUUUAUUCAGCAAUUUCCCAGUGACUGAAAUAUCGGGACAAAGCAAAAAAUAAUUAGUUGCAAGUCCUGAAAUGCAAAAAUAUGUUAAGAGACAUGUACACACAACCCUGUAUACUUUUCACAUCACAAUAAUGUAUUUUAAAUUAAAAUGGACUAGACUGUAAUCAAAAUACUGUUUAUUACAGAUAAAUUAAGAACUCUGUAAUAUUACAAAUCUCAUUCCCUCUACCUUUUAUAUAACGUGCAUCUGAAUAUACUUUAAAUAAAACUACAGCUCUUUGUUAAAGAAGAUAGAAUUGGUCACCAUCUCUUUACAAUUUCAUAUAUGGUAUCUGGAUUUCCCAAUAGAAUGUGAAUAAAGUACACAGGACAUACUCUACUGAUCACAACAGCCACAUAUAAACAACCUUUUAAAAAAACCAAAAGAGAUCAUUUAUUUUAAUAAAUGUACUACUACAGACAUUCAGAAUAAAAAUAUUU